rnacentral:tRNA from 1 species
GAGGGCGUGAUUGCAGACCGGUUAUUUUGCUUCCCAAGCUUGAGGUCGAGGGUUCGAGCCCCUUCGCCCGCUCCA